AGAACGAACGCUGGCGGCAGGCCUCAAACAUGCAAGUCUAGGGGGUGUAGCAAUACAUCACCGGCGGACGGGUGCGUAACGCGUGGGAAUAUACCUAUUGGUUCGGAACAACUGAGGGAAACUUCAGCUAAAUACCGAAUAAGUCCUUACGGAGAAAGAUUUAUCGCCAAUAGAUUAGCCCGCGUUCGAUUAGCUAGUUGGUGGGGUAACGGCCCACCAAGGCGACGAUCGAUAGCUGUUCUGAGAGGAAGAUCAGCCACACUGGGACUGAGACACGGCCCAGACUCCUACGGGAGGCAGCAGUUGGGAAUCUUGGACAAUGGGGGAAACCCUGAUCCAGCCAUGCCGCGUGAGUGAUGAAGGCCUUCGGGUUGUAAAACUCUUUCGCGCACGACGAUAAUGACGGUAGUGCGAGAAGAAGCUCCGGCUAACUUCGCGCCAGCAGCCGC
rnacentral:rRNA from 1 species